UGGGGAAUAUUGCGCAAUGGGCGAAAGCCUGACGCAGCCACGCCGCGUGAGUGAUGAAGGCCUUCGGGUUGUAAAGCUCUGUCGAGGGGGAAGAAUCCUGACGGUACCCCUCAAGAAAGUGCCGGCUAACCCUGUGCCAGCAGCCGCGGUAAUACAGGGGGCACUAGCGUUGCUCGGAAUCACUGGGCGUAAAGCGUACGCAGGCGGAUGGUUAAGUCGUGGGUGAAAGCCUGGAGCUCAACUCCAGAAGUGCCCUCGAUACUGGUCAUCUUGAGUACGGGAGAGGUGAGUGGAAUUCCUGGUGUAGAGGUGAAAUUCGUAGAUAUCAGGAGGAACACCGGUGGCGAAAGCGGCUCACUGGCCCGAUACUGACGCUCAUGUACGAAAGCGUGGGGAGCAA
rnacentral:rRNA from 1 species